rnacentral:rRNA from 1 species
CCUUGGUCAGGUUGAAGUUCAGGUAACACUGAAUGGAGGACCGAACCGACUUACGUUGAAAAGUGAGCGGAUGAACUGAGGGUAGCGGAGAAAUUCCAAUCGAACCUGGAGAUAGCUGGUUCUCUCCGAAAUAGCUUUAGGGCUAGCCUCAAGUGAUGAUUAUUGGAGGUAGAGCACUGUUUGGACGAGGGGCCCCUCUCGGGUUACCGAAUUCAGACAAACUCCGAAUGCCAAUUAAUUUAACUUGGGAGUCAGAACAUGGGUGAUAAGGUCCGUGUUCGAAAGGGAAACAGCCCAGACCACCAGCUAAGGUCCCAAAAUAUAUGUUAAGUGGAAAAGGAUGUGGCGUUGCCCAGACAACUAGGAUGUUGGCUUAGAAGCAGCCAUCAUUUAAAGAGUGCGUAAUAGCUCACUAGUCGAGUGACACUGCGCCGAAAAUGUACCGGGGCUAAACAUAUUAC